UUUCCGUAGGUGAACCUGCGGAGGGAUCAUUACAGAGUUCAUGCCCUACCGGGUAGAUCUCCCCCCCUAUAUUAUUAUUACUUUGUUGCUUUGGCGGGCCGUUAGGCUCCGGCCCGACUACCGGCCCCGGCUGGUAAGCGCCCGCCAGAGGACCCAAAACCCUGAAUAUUAGUGUCGUCUGAGUACUAUAUAAUAGUUAAAACUUUCAACAACGGAUCUCUUGGUUCUG
rnacentral:misc_RNA from 1 species